rnacentral:lncRNA from 1 species
CAGUUAAUUUUCUGAACACAGCACUUAAAAGCCAAAUUGUCAGUUUAAAGCCAGAUAUCUGACAACACCAUCAUUAAAGAUUAUAUUUGUUCUACAAAUGCUCAACAGACUCUCAAGUGAAGAGGCAUUGAGGUCAGCUCUAAAGACAUGGAGAUGAAUGAUUCAAUUCUGUUCUCGAGAAGCUCCCAUCAGGUCAAAAUGGCCAAUCUACUCUCUUCCACAUGCCACCGCAUCCCCAAAGUCAGGACUGUUGUCGUCAUUAAUAAGGUCUGGAAUGCCCAUGCUGCUCCUCUCUUCAUCCGUUGGCCCAGCUGUGUCCAUAAAAAACAUCAGGCUGGAUUUUUCCAGGCCUAGCUUGGUGGAAUAUUGGGCUGCCAGAAACAGUGUAACAGGACUAUUUCCCUACCACCAGCAAUGCCAGGAAGAAUAA